GCGAACGGGUGAGUAACACGUGGGUAACCUGCCCUUCAAACUGGGAUAACUAUUGGAAACGAUAGCUAAUACCGGAUAGGUAGUAGUGAGGCAUCUCAUUACUAUUAAAGAUGCGUUUUGCAUCAUUGAAGGAUGGACCCGCGGUGUAUUAGCUAGUUGGUGAGGUAACGGCCCACCAAGGCGAUGAUACAUAGCCGACCUGAGAGGGUGACCGGCCACAUUGGGACUGAGACACGGCCCAA
rnacentral:rRNA from 1 species